UUUAUGGAGAGUUUGAUCCUGGCUCAGGAUGAACGCUGGCGGCGUGCCUAAUACAUGCAAGUCGAGCGAACGGACGAGAAGCUUGCUUCUCUGAUGUUAGCGGCGGACGGGUGAGUAACACGUGGAUAACCUACCUAUAAGACUGGGAUAACUUCGGGAAACCGGAGCUAAUACCGGAUAAUAUUUUGAACCGCAUGGUUCAAAAGUGAAAGACGGUCUUGCUGUCACUUAUAGAUGGAUCCGCGCUGCAUUAGCUAGUUGGUAAGGUAACGGCUUACCAAGGCAACGAUGCAUAGCCGACCUGAGAGGGUGAUCGGCCACACUGGAACUGAGACACGGUCCAGACUCCUACGGGAGGCAGCAGUAGGGAAUCUUCCGCAAUGGGCGAAAGCCUGACGGAGCAACGCCGCGUGAGUGAUGAAGGUCUUCGGAUCGUAAAACUCUGUUAUUAGGGAAGAACAUAUGUGUAAGUAACUGUGCGCAUCUUGACGGUACCUAAUCAGAAAGCCACGGCUAACUACGUGCCAGCAGCCGCGGUAAUACGUAGGUGGCAAGCGUUAUCCGGAAUUAUUGGGCGUAAAGCGCGCGUAGGCGGUUUUUUAAGUCUGAUGUGAAAGCCCACGGCUCAACCGUGGAGGGUCAUUGGAAACUGGAAAACUUGAGUGCAGAAGAGGAAAGUGGAAUUCCAUGUGUAGCGGUGAAAUGCGCAGAGAUAUGGAGGAACACCAGUGGCGAAGGCGACUUUCUGGUCUGUAACUGACGCUGAUGUGCGAAAGCGUGGGGAUCAAACAGGAUUAGAUACCCUGGUAGUCCACGCCGUAAACGAUGAGUGCUAAGUGUUAGGGGGUUUCCGCCCCUUAGUGCUGCAGCUAACGCAUUAAGCACUCCGCCUGGGGAGUACGACCGCAAGGUUGAAACUCAAAGGAAUUGACGGGGACCCGCACAAGCGGUGGAGCAUGUGGUUUAAUUCGAAGCAACGCGAAGAACCUUACCAAAUCUUGACAUCCUUUGACAACUCUAGAGAUAGAGCCUUCCCCUUCGGGGGGCAAAGUGACAGGUGGUGCAUGGUUGUCGUCAGCUCGUGUCGUGAGAUGUUGGGUUAAGUCCCGCAACGAGCGCAACCCUUAAGCUUAGUUGCCAUCAUUAAGUUGGGCACUCUAAGUUGACUGCCGGUGACAAACCGGAGGAAGGUGGGGAUGACGUCAAAUCAUCAUGCCCCUUAUGAUUUGGGCUACACACGUGCUACAAUGGACAAUACAAAGGGCAGCGAAACCGCGAGGUCAAGCAAAUCCCAUAAAGUUGUUCUCAGUUCGGAUUGUAGUCUGCAACUCGACUACAUGAAGCUGGAAUCGCUAGUAAUCGUAGAUCAGCAUGCUACGGUGAAUACGUUCCCGGGUCUUGUACACACCGCCCGUCACACCACGAGAGUUUGUAACACCCGAAGCCGGUGGAGUAACCUUUUAGGAGCUAGCCGUCGAAGGUGGGACAAAUGAUUGGGGUGAAGUCGUAACAAGGUAGCCGUAUCGGAAGGUGCGGCUGGAUCACCUCCUUUCU
rnacentral:rRNA from 1 species